AGUUAUUUGGCUGAUAAGUAAAGCAUAUGUUUUGAAAGCAUAGGAUAGAGGUUAAAAUCCUUUAAUAACUU
rnacentral:tRNA from 1 species